GCCCUGAAGAGGUGCACCAGAAAAACUGCAGGAGGGAGAAGAUUUCCUUCAGAUGUUUCCACUUCGGUCCAGGAAACUAGACUCCAUUGCAAGUAACAGGAGACGAGUACUGUGGGAAGCAGAUUCCUCUUUCUAACGGAUCAGCAACAUAACGAUGCUUUUGCCUGAGUGGAUGGAAGGUGCUGGGGAAAUGGGCGCUGCUACCAUCAGGUCUGUGUUGCUCUCCAGCACCACAUUUCUUCCCAGUCCUGUUCAACAACAUCCACAGACUGUCAUGAGAGCACGUGGCUGCAAAUGCCAGGGACGUGCUCAUGAUGCAAUUAUCCAUUUCUCUGUACGAAUGCAGCACUGUCACUUGAGUGCAAUAAAGGAAAACACUUAUAGCAAACCAGGAUGUUGCAAUGGGUACGUAGCUUUUCCUGACCAAGGAGAAAGCACAACACACAGCGCGAUGAUGUUGCUUAACCUACAACGCACUCUUGGCUAAGAGAUGAGAUGGUACGCAGCAUGGCUGACUCGAAUUUCUGGUUCUACUUUCUAUUUUCCCUCGUCAUCAACCACAUGGCUGGAAGUUACAGGAGACAGCCGGGAGUGUGGCUGGCUGGAAGUGGAGGGAGAGAUUGCUCAUACACAGCUAUGAGAAACACGAGGUUACAGAAGUGACAGUUCCAGUGAGGAAAAACUUCCCCAAACUAGUUUGAACGAGCGUUUUUAGAUGAAUCUAAGCAAAUCUCUGGGAUCGUUAUAUUAAAUC